GAAUCUUGCACAAUGGGGGAAACCCUGAUGCAGCGACGCCGCGUGAGCGAUGAAGCCCUUCGGGGUGUAAAGCUCUUUCGGCAGGGAAGAUGAUGACGGUACCUGCAGAAGCAGCUGCGGCUAACUACGUGCCAGCAGCCGCGGUAAUACGUAGGCAGCGAGCGUUGUUCGGAGUUACUGGGCGUAAAGGGUGUGUAGGCGGUUGUUUAAGUUUGGUGUGAAAUCUCCCGGCUCAACUGGGAGGGUGCGCCGAAUACUGAAUGACUUGGAGUGCGGGAGAGGAAAGUGGAAUUCCUGGUGUAGCGGUGAAAUGCGUAGAUAUCAGGAGGAACACCGGUGGUGUAGACGGCUUUCUGGACCGUAACUGACGCUGAGACACGAAAGCGUGGGUAGCAAACAGG
rnacentral:rRNA from 1 species